ACAAUCGCCGCCAUUUUUGUUGAAUGCUUAGUAGCUUUAGUCUCGUAUCUUGUCUUGAUGUGCUCUUUUGACACUAAUAAUAAAAUAAUAGGCUGGUAUUGCAAUAUUAGUUGUUCGCAGAGAAGCUCGGAUUUUUAUUCGAAGCAAACAGCAGCAUUACAGAUGCAGGCCGAAUAUAUAAAAUAUGACGACGCCACAGUGCCCCCAGUUUCGUACAGCACAUGGCGCCAACUGUCACAUAGCCGGGCAGUAAGACAACGUGAGACUCUCGGGUGUGCGUUAGUGAUUGAUGAACAAGUUUUUAUGAGGAACCUGCAUGAUCGUGCACAUGAAGUAAUCCUUAUUAAACAGUUUCUUCUCUGGACGGCGUUACAAGUACAGGCAAGCGGGUGUCAACGGUUUUUAUUGCUGUAAUUUGUGGUGGUGUGGAUUCACCAGUGCGGAUCGAACAGCACCGUUUUCUCCAGCCCUGAUUCUACCAUAUCGAGAUGGUGUACAAGGAGAUGCGCAAGUGUAUUCCACAUCUUGAGGGAGAUGCAAGAUGUGCUUCUGCGAUCCUUGCUGCAGGUGUUCAAAUAAAUGAUUUAAAGUUUCA